AUCGAGAGUAUAUAGGCCUAUUGUUGAUGAGGCAAGCAGUCAGAGCAGUCCAGAACUAGAGGGUAUAAAGAGCUCCCUGAGCAUACUAUGUUGUGAUGUCAGCCUCAUUAGAAAAGGCCCUGUAUAAAGGUUUAGUAGAGUUGGCAGUGAUACAUAGCACUUCUAGGUCCAGUGCUACAAGGCUUGGAAGAGGUGUGAGAUCAGGAGGAUUGACCCAAGGACAUGAAAGGAGAAUUCAAUAACUCACAGAAGAGAGCAUACAUGAUGGUGUUGCCAAGAAAAGUGCUGAAUACAUUGUGACCAGUGUGACGAAAAUCCUGGCCUUGCACUGGAUAUAAAGAUGCUUUUGCUAGAGAAUUUACCAGGCAAUGACCCAGCAUCAGUGGAGAUGGGACUGGCCCAUCUCCCGCUCACUGUAAUGUCCCCUACAUUUUCACUGCUGUUGAAUUUGCUGGAUUACUUCUCUUUGAAGAAAAUCACAGAAUAACUAUUACCACGAGCAUCAGUUUACUGACCAAACAUUCAUAAGACCUGUAAUAUGCAAGUCACUGAGUAGAAGGAUUCUUUUCAUUCUACUGUAAUUUGUGCAAC